rnacentral:rRNA from 1 species
UCCGGUUGAUCCUGCCAGAGGCCGCUGCUAUCCGGCUGGGACUAAGCCAUGCUAGUCUAGGGGCUUGUACUCCUUCGGGGGUGCAAGCACCGGCGGACGGCUCAGUAACACGUGGACAACCUGCCCUCGGGUGGGGGAUAACCCCGGGAAACUGGGGCUAAUCCCCCAUAGGUGAUGGGUGCUGGAAUGCCCCAUCUCCGAAAGCGCUUAGCGCCCGAGGAUGGGUCUGCGGCGGAUUAGGUAGUUGGUGGGGUAACGGCCCACCAAGCCUAAGAUCCGUACGGGCUGUGGGAGCAGGAGCCCGGAGAUGGACCCUGAGACAAGGGUCCAGGCCCUACGGGGCGCAGCAGGCGCGAAACCUCCGCAAUGCGGGAAACCGCGACGGGGUUAGCCGGAGUGCCCGUGCAUUGCACGGGCUGUCGGGGUGCCUAAACAGCACCCCAUAGCAAGGGCCGGGCAAGGCCGGUGGCAGCCGCCGCGGUAAGACCGGCGGCCCGAGUGGCGGCCACUCUUAUUGGGCCUAAAGCGUCCGUAGCCGGCCCAGUAAGUCCCCCGGGAAAUCUGGUCGC